AAGUUUUUCAUGUAAACUUUCAACACAAAAUAAUGACAAAGGUUAAGAACAAACUAAAAGCAGGGCAUGAUUAAAUAAUACUUAAGAAGUGUUCAAUAAAAAAAUAAUGAGUGUAUGUCAAAUAUACUUGAACUAAUUCAAGUUAAAUAAUUUGGUCACUUUAGAAAACAAAUAUGAGUAUGUGACAAUGUUUGCUAAAUUAGGCACUAUUGGAUUUUUAAAUUCAUUACAAUCUGAGUUGAAAAUGUCAAAACUUUAUUCAUUAAAUAUGCACUAUUUUUCAAACAAAAG
rnacentral:lncRNA from 1 species